rnacentral:rRNA from 1 species
GACGAACGCUGGCGGCGCGCUUAACACAUGCAAGUCGAGCGAGAACCAGGGCUUCGGCCCUGGGGACAGCGGCGAACGGGUGAGUAACACGUGGGUAAUCUGCCCUCGGCACCGGAAUAACCCGGGGAAACCCGGAUUAAUGCCGGAUGGCCCCUUCACCUCGCGAGGUGUCGGGAAAAGGUAGCUUCGGCCUCCUGCCGAGGAUUACCACGCGGCGGGUUAGCUUGUUGGCGGGGUAACGGCCCACCAAGGCGACGAUCCGUAGCUGGUCUGAGAGGACGAUCAGCCACACUGGGACUGAGACACGGCCCAGACUCCUACGGGAGGCAGCAGUGGGGAAUCUUGCGCAAUGGGCGAAAGCCUGACGCAGCGACGCCGCGUGAGGGAAGAAGGCCUUCGGGUUGUAAACCUCUUUCAGGAGGGACGAAGCUACUCGGGUGAAUAGCCCAGAGGGUGACGGUACCUCCAGAAGAAGCCCCGGCUAACUACGUGCCAGCCGCCGCAGUAA